rnacentral:rRNA from 1 species
UACAGAGGGUGCGAGCGUUGUUCGGAAUUAUUGGGCGUAAAGCGCUGGUAGGUGGCUUGUUAAGUCGCGUGUGAAAGCUCCAGGCUCAACCUGGAAAGUGCGCGCGAAACUGGCGAGCUUGAGUGCCGGAGAGGGUCGCGGAAUUCCCGGUGUAGAGGUGAAAUUCGUAGAUAUCAGGAGGAACACCGGUGGCGAAGGCGGGUCUCUGGGCCGAUACUGACGCUGAGGAGCGAAAGCGUGGGGAGCGAACAGG